rnacentral:lncRNA from 1 species
UUGGAGUCGAGAACGAGGUCCGGCUCCCGUAGGAGUCCGGGUGGAGUCUUCCUACAAUUAAAGUCAAAGGCGAAGUCCGGCUCCCGUAGGAGUCCGGACAAAGCUUACCAGCAGCUGAAGUUGAGGACGGAGCCCGGCUCCCGUAGGAGCCCGGGCGAGGUCUACUUGCGGUUGAAGUCGCGGGUGGAGUCCGUCUCCUGUAGGAGUCCGGAUGAAGUCUGUCCACAGCCGUUAGAGUCGAGGAUGAGGCCCGGCUCCCAUAGGAGUCCGGGUGGAGUCUUCCUGCAAUUAAAGUCAAAGGCGAAGUCCGUCUCCCGUAGGAGUCCGGACAAGGCUUACCAGCAGUUGAAGUUGAGGAUGGAGCCCGGCUCCCGUAGGAGCUCGGGUGAGGUCUACUUGCGGUUGAAGUCGCGGGCGGAGUCCGUCUCCCGUAGGAGUCCGGACGAAGUCUGUCCGCAGCCGUUGGAGUCGAGGACGAGGCCCAGCUCCCGUAGG